rnacentral:rRNA from 1 species
GGGUUGUGAGGUUAAGCGACUAAGCGUACACGGUGGAUGCCCUGGCAGUCAGAGGCGAUGAAGGACGUGCUAAUCUGCGAUAAGCGUCGGUAAGGUGAUAUGAACCGUUAUAACCGGCGAUUUCCGAAUGGGGAAACCCAGUGUGUUUCGACACACUAUCAUUAACUGAAUCCAUAGGUUAAUGAGGCGAACCGGGGGAACUGAAACAUCUAAGUACCCCGAGGAAAAGAAAUCAACCGAGAUUCCCCCAGUAGCGGCGAGCGAACGGGGAGCAGCCCAGAGCCUGAAUCAGUGUGUGUGUUAGUGGAAGCGUCUGGAAAGGCGCGCGAUACAGGGUGACAGCCCCGUACACAAAAAUGCACAUGCUGUGAGCUCGAUGAGUAGGGCGGGACACGUGGUAUCCUGUCUGAAUAUGGGGGGACCAUCCUCCAAGGCUAAAUACUCCUGACUGACCGAUAGUGAACCAGUACCGUGAGGGAAAGGCGAAAAGAACCCCGGCGAGGGGAGUGAAAAAGAACCUGAAACCGUGUACGUACAAGCAGUGGGAGCACGCUUAGGCGUGUGACUGCGUACCUUUUGUAUAAUGGGUCAGCGACUUAUAUUCUGUAGCAAGGUUAACCGAAUAGGGAGCCGAAGGGAAACCGAGUCUUAACUGGGCGUUAAGUUGCAGGGUAUAGACCCGAAACCCGGUGAUCUAGCCAUGGGCAGGUUGAAGGUUGGGUAACACUAACUGGAGGACCGAACCGACUAAUGUUGAAAAAUUAGCGGAUGACUUGUGGCUGGGGGUGAAAGGCCAAUCAAACCGGGAGAUAGCUGGUUCUCCCCGAAAGCUAUUUAGGUAGCGCCUCGUGAAUUCAUCUCCGGGGGUAGAGCACUGUUUCGGCAAGGGGGUCAUCCCGACUUACCAACCCGAUGCAAACUGCGAAUACCGGAGAAUGUUAUCACGGGAGACACACGGCGGGUGCUAACGUCCGUCGUGAAGAGGGAAACAACCCAGACCGCCAGCUAAGGUCCCAAAGUCAUGGUUAAGUGGGAAACGAUGUGGGAAGGCCCAGACAGCCAGGAUGUUGGCUUAGAAGCAGCCAUCAUUUAAAGAAAGCGUAAUAGCUCACUGGUCGAGUCGGCCUGCGCGGAAGAUGUAACGGGGCUAAACCAUGCACCGAAGCUGCGGCAGCGACGCUUAUGCGUUGUUGGGUAGGGGAGCGUUCUGUAAGCCUGCGAAGGUGUGCUGUGAGGCAUGCUGGAGGUAUCAGAAGUGCGAAUGCUGACAUAAGUAACGAUAAAGCGGGUGAAAAGCCCGCUCGCCGGAAGACCAAGGGUUCCUGUCCAACGUUAAUCGGGGCAGGGUGAGUCGACCCCUAAGGCGAGGCCGAAAGGCGUAGUCGAUGGGAAACAGGUUAAUAUUCCUGUACUUGGUGUUACUGCGAAGGGGGACGGAGAAGGCUAUGUUGGCCGGGCGACGGUUGUCCCGGUUUAAGCGUGUAGGCUGGUUUUCCAGGCAAAUCCGGAAAAUCAAGGCUGAGGCGUGAUGACGAGGCACUACGGUGCUGAAGCAACAAAUGCCCUGCUUCCAGGAAAAGCCUCUAAGCAUCAGGUAACAUCAAAUCGUACCCCAAACCGACACAGGUGGUCAGGUAGAGAAUACCAAGGCGCUUGAGAGAACUCGGGUGAAGGAACUAGGCAAAAUGGUGCCGUAACUUCGGGAGAAGGCACGCUGAUAUGUAGGUGAGGUCCCUCGCGGAUGGAGCUGAAAUCAGUCGAAGAUACCAGCUGGCUGCAACUGUUUAUUAAAAACACAGCACUGUGCAAACACGAAAGUGGACGUAUACGGUGUGACGCCUGCCCGGUGCCGGAAGGUUAAUUGAUGGGGUUAGCGCAAGCGAAGCUCUUGAUCGAAGCCCCGGUAAACGGCGGCCGUAACUAUAACGGUCCUAAGGUAGCGAAAUUCCUUGUCGGGUAAGUUCCGACCUGCACGAAUGGCGUAAUGAUGGCCAGGCUGUCUCCACCCGAGACUCAGUGAAAUUGAACUCGCUGUGAAGAUGCAGUGUACCCGCGGCAAGACGGAAAGACCCCGUGAACCUUUACUAUAGCUUGACACUGAACAUUGAGCCUUGAUGUGUAGGAUAGGUGGGAGGCUUUGAAGUGUGGACGCCAGUCUGCAUGGAGCCGACCUUGAAAUACCACCCUUUAAUGUUUGAUGUUCUAACGUUGACCCGUAAUCCGGGUUGCGGACAGUGUCUGGUGGGUAGUUUGACUGGGGCGGUCUCCUCCUAAAGAGUAACGGAGGAGCACGAAGGUUGGCUAAUCCUGGUCGGACAUCAGGAGGUUAGUGCAAUGGCAUAAGCCAGCUUGACUGCGAGCGUGACGGCGCGAGCAGGUGCGAAAGCAGGUCAUAGUGAUCCGGUGGUUCUGAAUGGAAGGGCCAUCGCUCAACGGAUAAAAGGUACUCCGGGAUAACAGGCUGAUACCGCCCAAGAGUUCAUAUCGACGGCGGUGUUUGGCACCUCGAUGUCGGCUCAUCACAUCCUGGGGCUGAAGUAGGUCCCAAGGGUAUGGCUGUUCGCCAUUUAAAGUGGUACGCGAGCUGGGUUUAGAACGUCGUGAGACAGUUCGGUCCCUAUCUGCCGUGGGCGCUGGAGAACUGAGGGGGCUGCUCCUAGUACGAGAGGACCGGAGUGGACGCAUCACUGGUGUUCGGGUUGUCAUGCCAAUGGCACUGCCCGGUAGCUAAAUGCGGAAGAGAUAAGUGCUGAAAGCAUCUAAGCACGAAACUUGCCCCGAGAUGAGUUCUCCCUGACCCUUUAAGGGUCCUGAAGGAACGUUGAAGACGACGACGUUGAUAGGCCGGGUGUGUAAGCGCAGCGAUGCGUUGAGCUAACCGGUACUAAUGAACCGUGAGGCUUAACCUUACAACGCCGAAGCUGUU